CUUCCCCAGCCGCAUAAGGCGCCGCGCUACCGCGGCGCUUAAAACACGAAAUACAGCUUCCCGCAGCGCUUAAUCAUCCCGCGCGGUGCCUCAAUUAUUAGCGCAGCGUCUUAAAUCAGUAAGCGAUUUCAUCCCUGUGAGAUACCUCAGGUAAAUAUCGAUCGGGGAAGUUUAUGAAUACACAGUGUAGCUAGCUGUUUACCGUGUACUGAUAAGGGUUUAACGACGACACGUGUUGAUGAAAGUCUGUGUUUUCACAAGUUAACUGGAGCAGGAGUGAUUGGAUUAUAAUUAGUUAAAGAUUAUAAUUAGUCUAUGCAACGAAAUGGGAUAACAGCUGGUGACGGCAUGCAUGGGCUCUUUUAUCACUCUUCUCCCUUGAAGAAGACCUGGCGGUUAUUGAAUGGGCACAGGCGAAUCUUAGCCACCCUUACCACAGAUGAACACUUUGAGCACCAUGGAGUGGAUUGUUGGUAAUCUGUCCGAGUCUCACCCAAACCUGAGCAAAGUCGCUACAGUGGGACUGCUUCUACCAACCUCCACAGCUGAUUGUGAGAGAGGUUUCAGCAGUUGAAUGUGUAAAGACCACCCACCAUUCACCGGUGAGCAUGAAAGUGCUUAAUGCCUUACUCAUGGUGUCCAUGCAGUGACAAAAACUGAAUGACUUAAAUUUCAGUGGUGCAGUAAAGGAAUGGCACAGAGCCAAAGACAGACACUUACUGGUAUAUGAAAACAAAAAUGCCUAUGUGUUGUUAGUGUUAGUACAAAGACAAAGAAGUGGAAGGACAUAUGUGUUGUUCGAAAAUACAUAUAAAAGAAGUGGACAUCUGUCAUGUCUGUGUAGUGUAUAUGAUAUAUUGAUGGUUAUAUGAUUAUGAAAAAAAGUAGAAGUAAUGAAA